UCCCUGAUAGCUCAGUUGGUAAAGAAUCUGCCUGCAAUGCAGGAGACCCCGGUUAGAUUCCUGGGUCGGGAA
rnacentral:tRNA from 1 species